rfam:Schistosoma rodhaini strain Burundi genome assembly, scaffold: SROB_scaffold0010196
UCACUAUUGAGGAGUCCCACAAUAAGACGAAACGUCCGUCCAGUAA